rnacentral:lncRNA from 1 species
AAUAAAACUGUUACUAAAUCCCUGGAUGGUUGAAUUGCAUCUGAUGAGCUGGAAUGAUAAAAGGUCCUGCAGGAAGACCGGCUGAUCCAGGCCAUCCUUUGUCAGGCAAGUUCCUUUUAAACUUCAACUCUGCUUGUGGGAUCAGGAUGUGUGCCUCCUGGGUGUGCUUUAAAAUGACACUUGCAUUUAAACCAAAGCAAACUAAUGAGCUAGUGGUUUAUCUUCCUGUUUCUAGAUCCAGGAGCAAGCCCCUCUUGUGGUAGGAUGUAUUCUGGCAGGACAGCGGAGGGUUUGCUGUGUCUCAGGUUGACCGAUCUCCUCCCGUAGCAGUAUGAGUUAACUUGCCAUUCUUCUGCCCCUGGCAGAACCCUAACCCUAACCCUAGAGAAGAAAGGUCGAUUCUGUGCCUCAACGUUGGCUCCAUGUCAGACUGAGUCCUAAGUGGGGUUGUGCCUUUGUACUUUCCACCGCCUUCAUUCACUUACUAAAGCUGUAGCAAAGCGCCACCUCGUGGAAAGCUGGGGCAACUGUGGAGAAUCAAAUGGUUGCUGAAUAGGGAUCCGCUGAGACACUUCAAUGUUCAAACUACUAAACUAAAUGUAGUUCUAGCUGCCUGGUGUGGGGAAAAAUAGCUUACUCCUAUAUACCCAGUACUGACUCGUGCACUGGUUGUCUGGGGCAAUAGUGGAAAUCAAGCCAUUUAAUCUAAGAGAUCUUAAUCUAUUAAUGCCUACAGCUUUCCUUUCUAUGUGGUUUAAUUCCCAUGGUAACUCCAGGCUUUCUACUAGUUAUAUUCCAAUCACAAAGACCCUCUGGGAGGUUGUAACUCAGUAAAACUCUGAGCACUGUAUCUAAUGACAGCAUCACCCAAGGAAUCUUUUAGUUAUGAUUAAAGUCAGUUUAGCCAAAACCUUUUAAAUGUGAAUAUUGCAGUUAUUUCCCCAAAGCGAAUACUGCCCUGAGGUAGCCCUUCUUUGGACUUGCAGUGUGACCUUAACCACUCAGUACCUCAAUUUAUCCACCCAUGUAAUGGGGCUAUUAGGACUUAGCUGGCUUACAGACAUUAACAUUUCUAAAGCACCUGGAACGCCUUGUAUGAAAAGUGCUAUAUAAAGGCCUGAUCCAGCUCC